CCUUCUGUGCCUUGGCAGCUAGAGGAUCACUCAGGUCAUGGCUACUUCAGGGUGAUGUGCUCUAUCUCUGUUGGCUCACUCCACCGUAGCAUCCUUUCACCUUCCCUGUUGAUGCUGGACUAACAUUCCAACUGGAGCUACGACUCUUCCAUGAACCAUUUCUUCUUAAACGUCAGCCGAGAGGCUGAAGAUUGAAUGGGCUAUAGCGAGUGAAUUAUCCUCUCAUCCUGAGAAGUGGGCCUCCCAGGGCAGAGAUGAAGCAUCCGGCGCGGUGCCUGGCGGGAAGGCGACUGUUGCCCAGGCUCCUGGUGCUGUGUGUGACCAGAGGGCAUCAGUG
rnacentral:lncRNA from 1 species